UGAGGAAUAUUGCGCAAUGGGCGAAAGCCUGACGCAGCGACACCGCGUGAAGGAUGAAGGCUUUAGGGUCGUAAACUUCUGUUAAGUGGGAAGAAAAAACUAGUCCUAAUACGACUAAGGAAUGACGGUACCACUAGAGAAAGCACCGGCUAACUUCGUGCCAGCAGCCGCGGUAAGACGAGGGGUGCAAACGUUAUUCGGAAUGAUUGGGCGUAAAGGGUGCGUAGGCUGUUCAUCAAGUCAACUGUUAAAUUUCUCAGCUUAACUGGGAGUAUGCGGUAGAAACUGGUGGACUAGAGGAUGGAAGAGAGAAGUAGAAUUCUCGGAGUAGCGGUAAAAUGCGUAGAUCUCGAGAGGAACACCGAUGGCGAAGGCAGCUUCUUGGUCCAUUUCUGACGCUGAGGCACGAAAGCGUGGGGAGCAAACAGGAUUAGAUACCCCCGUAGUCC
rnacentral:rRNA from 1 species